AGAAGCACUCUAGCUACAGAUUAGAAUGAUGACAAGAGUAAUACCUUCCUAGUGAAGAUGACUUUUAUUUCAGGACUAUAUUAAGUUUCCCAACUUCUGUCAUGAUAUAGUCCAAAGAGAACCUGGACCACGCAGACAUCAAACAGAACAUGACACUGACCCAUUCUAUCAGUGACGUUGUGCUGAUUGCACAGGACAGAUGAGAGGCUCGUAUACUAGAAGUCUUGAUGAAGAAAAAUUGUGCCCCAGCAAGGAUUAUACCCAGAGCCUCAUCCAUUCAUACCUGAUUUAGAUACUUAGAUGAUGAGUAAUAGAAAAGGUGGUUAUCAAACCUGGGUCAAAGUUGAAUCACCUGAGGAUCUUUUAGAACAUACACAGCCAGCUGGACCUGCCCUCAGCUACCUCAUCUCUCUCUGUGACCUAAUGACAGAAAAGCACAUGAUUCUCUUCACCUGACUUCAUAUAUGGGUCCAUGUCAUAUGAUACUUCAAAAUCUGUGAUUCCAUGAAGCCAAGAGUAGCUCUUCAACAGGAAAUGAAUGAGUGCUUCAGCUUCUGAUCCCAUUAGUAAGAAAAUACAGUCUUAUGAGCAAUGAUGGAGCUGCAUCUCUUAGGGGCAUUUGAUUCCCAAGAGACCAAAGAGCAAAGAGAAUGUCAAUUUAAAAAAAUCAAAUGUUUCCAUGACUUAGCUAUUUAACUGCUUUAAAAUGAAUGAAUGCUGCUUCAAGUUCUUUCAAAUACCCCACAUCUUGGCAACAACGAAAGGAAUUAACAUGAAGAAAAUUUACAAUCUUUCAUCACAUCGAACAAUGUCCCACAUUUGAAAAGUUCACAGCACAGAUUUCUGGUUACUGAAAGAAAGGAAAGACCUUCUUUGGAUUUGAAUAAACAGAUGGACUUUCUUC
rnacentral:lncRNA from 1 species